UAAACUUGUAAUUUAAUGGAUAAAAUAUAUAAAUACGAAUUAUAAAAUAAAAGUUCAAUUCUUUUCAAGUUUAU
rnacentral:tRNA from 1 species